UACGGAGGAUCCGAGCGUUAUCCGGAUUUAUUGGGUUUAAAGGGUGCGUAGGCGGCCUUGUAAGUCAGGGGUGAAAGACGGUAGCUCAACUAUCGCAGUGCCUUUGAUACUGCAGGGGCUUGAAUGUACUUGAGGUAGGCGGAAUGUGACAAGUAGCGGUGAAAAUGCAUAGAUAUGUCACAGAACACCAAUUGCGAAGGCAGCUUACUAAAGUAUGAUUGACGCUGAGGCACGAAAGCGUGGGGAUCAAACAGG
rnacentral:rRNA from 1 species